GGGGAGGUGCCCGUAGCUGCCCUACCCCGGGCACCCUGUGCUGCUGGUCCCUGGGCAGGGCUCGCUUGGCUGUUCAUGCUUCUUCCUGGCUUGGAAAAAAAGGCGGCAAAUGGAAGGGGAGAGCCUUUCUCUGCUACCUGAGAGGCGACAUUCUGGAACUCUCCACCUGGCCUCCGGUAGACAGCUUGUGGGUGACGGCCCACCUAGACGCUCCUUGAGGGAGCAGGUGUGUGGGGCUUGUGCGGACUGAAUGGAGGCCCCUAAUGGAAGAGACCCUAACCCUGGAACCUGCGAUCAUCGCCUCAUAUGAUAAGGGUUUUGCAGCUGUGAUUAAAUUAAGGGGUGAUAAGAGACGAUGCUGGAUUAUCUGGGUGUCUGUACCCACCGCAGUGUCCCCAUGAGAGGCAGGGAGUCUGUGUGCCCAGGAGGUGGUGUGACCUCUCCAAGGCAGGGGACACCGGAAGCCCCAGAAGCUGGAGGCAGCAAGGGAUAGGGCAGCCAGGUCUCCUGACCCCUUGAUUUCAGAAUCACUUGCUGAUUUUGAUGUGGGCCACCUGGCCUGCAGAAAUGCCACAGAACGGUCUGUGGUCUUGGGCACCAUGUUUGAGAAUCUGUCCCAGGAGCCAUAGCAAAUGCAUCCAUGGCUCGAUCCUCAGCCCAGUGGAAGCCAGCCCUCCCUUGACCCUCCAAGAGCCCUCUACAGGCAGGAGUGCUGUGGACACAGCAGCUUGUCCUGUUUCUUUGUCUUGUCUGGUUUGGUUUCAGGGAUUGAACUCAGGGGCCCUGGACCUCUGAGCCUCACCCCCACCCUGUUUUGUAUUCUAUUAGAGACAGGCUGUCACUGAGUUGCUGAGCGCCUCACUAUUGCUGAGGCUGGCUUUGAACUCACGACCCCCCUGCCUCAGCCUCCCGAGCCCCUGAGAUGACAGGCGUGGGCCACCGUGCUGGGCUAGCAGCUUGUUCUGUUUGUGGGGAUGAUGGAGGAAGAAAUCACGCGUGUUACUCAGAGAAUGUGUGGUGGGUUUUUGGCAUAUAAAAAUGGGCAGUGAGAAUGUCAGCUGAAAAUGUUAACCAAGAGCUGGAGCCUGACCCCCCACACACACACAGGCCGGGAGUUCUCUGCAACGUUAAGUUAAAACCACUCUCCAGGCAGGGAGCCCCCGUCACCUCGAGGUUCCCCAGCGUCUUCUAGGCCCGUUUUCUUAUUGCCCAGACCUGUUAGUGUGGGCCACCUUUUUUUUAUAAUUAAAAAGGAAAUGAGAAGAAAAGAG
rnacentral:lncRNA from 1 species